AAAACCUGUUUUAUGAAACUUUGCAUAUUGUCGAAUAGUCAUACCAAAUUACGAUCAGUAGUACCGAGUGUGGGUAAGAAUUUUUGUGUAAAUUUUAUAUAAAUAAUGGACUUGAAAUUGACAGUGAAGUAAACAUAUGUGGUAAUUAGAAUAUCCCGAUAGUCCGGCAUGAGAACGGUCCGGUGGCAGACACCGGUAAGGGAUGAGUAGUAGUUAGAAUAUUCUGAUAGUCCGGCAUGAGAACGGUCCGGUGGCAGACACCGGUAAGGGAUAUUUAGUAGUAGACCUAAUAUUAAUAGAAUAUUCUGAUAGUCCGGCUGUGAACGGUCUGGUGGCAGACACCAGUAAGGAAUAAAUAAUAUAGUCUAGGAUAGAUUUUCACCGAUAGUCCGGCUAGUGACCGGUCCAGCUGUGUCUGGUAAGGUGGUCUAUUAUUGAGUAUUGAUGUGACCAGGAUUAUAUUCUAUGUAUAAGUGAUAUUCGUUCGGGCGUCUGAAAAAGGGCGUGAUCAGUUUUAUCAUUAACAUCUGAGUAUGAUUCGAUCAUUCAUCUGCAAAAGAUAAAUCCAAUUAGUGUUUUAGAUAGAACCAAUAGCCGGUAGUGUCCGGUGAGGUUAAAAUCCAAUAGCUGGUAGUGUCCGGUGAGGUGUCUACAAUAGAUUAAUGUAUGAUUAAGAUAUGUUGGACUGAAAAGUCCGCUUUGUGUUGUGGCCAGAAUGAAUGUGAUAAAUGUACUAAUGUGUGAUGUCAUAGAAUAAGAUGUUCUAAUUGAACAAUUGUGUUUAAAACUAUGUCCAUGUAAUAAUAUUUGUGUGUUGACUAUAGACUAAAUGUAAACGGCGUUUCACAAGUCCCUGAUAUUAUUACCAUUAUUUAAAAUUAUUGUGAGCAAAGUAUUUCCUAAAUUCAAAAAAAAAAAAAAAAAUCUAUUAUCCAAAUUGUUAAAACAUAGUUUAUGUUGAUAAUCAUUUCCUGAAUUGGUGGCUCGUGUUUAAUCAUUAAAACAUUAUUGUUUAAAAUUCUGGAUAUAUGACGGAGAGGCUCUGAGUUAAGACAGAGUACGAGUAAUAGUGUCUCCUAAGAAUACAUCACUGGCACGAGCCAGUGACGGGCUAAGUAUAUCCAAAGAGUGUACAAAAUAUUUCUAAAAAAAAACACGUCAAAUCAGCACCUAAGACAGGUGGAGGAGAGGUUUGGCAUUACACACAAGUUUGGCUCUGUGUAUAGGCCGCAAUCGCAGGGCCUUGUGGAACGCUGUAAUCAAAAUCUGAAAGCUAAGAUAGCUAAAGUGUGUGCAGGGACACAUCUUUCACCCCAUGAAAUAAUGACAGGUAGAGUAAUGCCAGGGCCACCAAGAGAGGGAGGUCAUAUGCCCCCUCUUGAUGUGCACCAAAUAGGGAUGUCUGACUAUGUGAAGAAAUUGACGGAAUUGUCUGCAGCUCUCUCCAAACAGAUACACCGUGUCGCAGAGAGGGAGCUGACUGACGUCCCGGAACAACCAAGGGUAAAAGUUGGGGACUGGGUAAGGAUCAAGGUCCACAAGAGAAAGUGGGCUGAUCCCAGGUGGACUGGACCGUACGAAGUGAAGGAGGUUACUUCACACUCAGUCCAGGUCAAAGGUAAAUUAGGCGCACCUUGGCACCACCUGACACAUUGUACACCAGCCCCAACCCCUGCCAGAACUCUGGCUGAAGUAAGAAGUGAUUUACUCACAUCCAAUUCGAAUUCAAAUUCUGACAUCCCUCCCGUCUGAUCAUGUGGAGGAGACUCCCAUCCUCAGAUGAUAGGGACACUAGAGUAGCACCAUGGGCUAGAAGGGCUAGGAGACCAUGGGAAAGACUGGGUUGUUCUGGCCCAUUGUUUGUCCUAAUUAUAGUCAAUGUUGUUUUGACAUUGGGAGUAAUGAUAUGGGCAGCCCAGCGUAUAAUCACUGACCAGGAACAGACUACCCAGCUAAACAUCACCAAUGCUUCAAUAUUCUCGGAUACGCAUGUUCUGUCUAAACGUCAAGUUCAGAAUAAUGACUUUGAGUGUACUGCAGAAUUGAUUAGGUCAGCUACUCUGUGUAUCCCGCCUAACGCUACUACCACUGUUAUACUUACCUGGGGUGUUAUUGGAAGCCCAGGUGGCGGUUAUGGUACUCAUGCAAUCAGUUGGUCUAGAUCAGUGUGGUACAUGACAGAAGGGGGGUAUAAUAAAUGGACGUGGAAGAAUUUAGUGGCAGAGACUGGUCCUGACUGGUCUAGCUGGACAGUGCAUCAGAUGGCACUCCUGUGGCGGAGCAGGUUGACGUUAACUAAA